UAUUAUUAGUUUUGCAUAGUUUUAGACUUUGAGCAGAGUGAGGAAUGUAUCAGUUUUACAAUAAUAAUUUUUUUUUUCUGUGAACCACUAUUUUACCAGAAAUCUUGAUCCUAUUUUGAAGUGUAGCAUAUUUUCUGAAAAUAAAUUUUAUCUAGGCAGUACUAGAUAAUAAUAAAUGUGAUAAAGCUUGAAAAUUUACAAAAUUUAUUAUUUCCAAAUCGUAAAUAUUGAAGCCAUUCAAAACAUGAAACCCAAACUCUGC